AAUAGGAGCUACUAUGUCUGAAAUUGCUGUUUGAUUUUGUUCUUCUUUCUUCUUCUUUUUCAUCCGGUUAGGGUUUUCUUCUUCAGAACUUAUUAUUCUUUUUCCUACCCUCGUCGUCCAAACCAAGCCAUCUUGUUCUUUUUUCUACCCUCGUCGUCCAACCAAGCCAUCGUACACGGUUCAUGCGAUGGACAUGUCCGACGCUGUGAUUGUCAAAUCUAGUAGGUUGAAAUCUGUUGUAUGGAAUGAUUUUGAUAGGAUUAAAAAAGGCGACACGUGUGUGGCUGUUUGCAGGCAUUGUAAUAAGAAAUUGAGUGGAUCAAGUACGAGUGGAACAUCACAUCUAAGGAACCAUUUAAUCAGGUGUCAGAGAAGGUCUAACCAUGGUAUAGCACAAUAUAUUACAGCAAGAGAAAAGAGAAAGGAAGGGACUCUUGCAAUUGCAAAUUUCAGUUUGGAUCAAGAUCCAAGCAAAGAUGAAACCCUUAGCCUUGUGAAUAUCAAAUUUGAGCAGACGCAGUUGAAAGAUGAAUCUGUCAACACUGGAACUAGUAUCUUCGAUCAAAGACGCAGUCGAUUCGAUCUUGCCCGCAUGAUUAUUCUACAUGGAUAUCCCUUGGCUAUGGUUGAACAUGUUGGUUUCAGAGCCUUCGUAAAAAAUCUACAGCCCUUGUUUGAGCUUGUAACAAUGAAUCGGGUUGAGGCUGAUUGUAUUGAGAUUUAUGAGAAAGAGAGGAAAAAGAUGAACGAGAUGUUGGAUAAAUUGCCUGGAAAAAUCAGUAUCAGUGCUGAUGUGUGGACUGCAACGGGUGAUGCUGAGUACUUGUGUUUGACAUCAAAUCACAUAGAUGAAUCGUGGCAGCUAAGAAGGAGGAUAUUAAAUUUUAUAAGGAUUGAUCCUUCUCAUACUGAAGACAUGCUUUCAGAAGCAGUCAUGUCUUGUCUGAUGGAUUGGGAUAUUGACCGUAAAUUGUUCUCCAUGAUUUUGGACAGCUGUUCUACGUGUGAUAACAUUGCUACUAGAAUUGGUGAGAGACUUAUGCAAAACAGAUUUCUUUAUUGUAAUGGUCAAUUAUUUGAUAUACGCUGUGUUGCCAAUGUUCUUAAUGUCAUGUCUCAGCUUGCUUUGGGAGCUAUUAGUGAAAUAGUAUAUAAGAUUCGUGAAACUACUCGAUAUAUUAAAAGUUCACAAACUGUACUGGCAAAGUUCAAUGAAAUGGCUAAAGAAGUUGGGAUCAUGACUCAAAAGUGCUUAUUUCUAGACAAUCCUCUGCAAUGGAAUUCGACAUAUGCAAUGCUUGAAGCUGCUUUAGAAUUCAAGGAUGUUUUAAUUCUUUUGCAAGAAAAUGAUCCCGCCUAUAACAUCUGUUUAUCUGAAGUAGAGUGGGAGAGACUCAAUGCAGUUACCAGCUACUUAAAGCUUUUUGUUGAGGUUAUAAAUAUUUUCACAAGGAACAAGUAUCCAACUGCUAAUAUAUACUUCCCCGAGCUCUGUGAUGUUAAGUUGCAUUUGAUUGAAUGGUGCAAGAAUUCAGAUGCUUGUAUCAGUUCUUUGGUGUUAAAGUUGAGAAGCAAGUUUGACGAGUAUUGGGAUAAAUGUAGCUUAGGGUUGGCAGUUGCUGCCAUGUUAGACCCUAGAUUCAAGAUGAAGUUGGUCGACUAUUACUAUCCACAAAUCUACGGUAGCACGUCUGCAAGUCGCAUUGAAGAGGUAUUUGAGGGUGUAAAGGCUCUUUACAACGAACAUUCUAUAGGCUCCCCAUUAGCUUCUCAUGACCAAGGUUUGGCCUGGCAAGUCGGCAAUGGUAGUGGUACACUUUGUUUGCCAUGGUCUGGAAAGGAUUCAAGGGACAGAUUGAUGGGGUUUGACAAGUUCCUCCAUGAAACUUCUCAAGGUGAAGGUGCAAAAUCAGAUCUCGAAAAGUACUUAGAAGAACCUCUUUUUCCGCGAAACGUUGAUUUCAACAUAUUGAAUUGGUGGAGAGUUCACACUCCUAGGUAUCCUGUCUUAUCCAUGAUGGCCCGAAAUGUUUUAGGAAUUCCAAUGUCAAAGGUUGCACCAGAGUUGGCAUUUAAUUACAGUGGAAGAGUUCUUGAUCGUGAUUGGAGCUCACUUAAUCCAGCUACUGUCCAAGCUUUGGUGUGUUCGCAGGAUUGGAUACGGAGUGAACUGGAAAACUAGAGUUGCUUUUCCCUUGCAUUCUAACUGUACAUGCCAAUUCCCCCCUUAGAAAUAUCGCCUUUUGGCUUGUUGAAAACUGAGUAUCUUAUCAUGUGGGGCAAUAGAAGUGUGGUAAAUAUUUUUCGGCAUAAAAUGGAGAUUUUACAUCUCAGGUACACAAAUUUUCCAUUAGCUUAAUUAUCUUUUUGGUCCCUCCAAGUAUAUCAAAUUUUGCUUUUUUCUUAGUUUUAUGUCCCUUUAGAAAGUAAGGACCAAAAAAUAUAUCUUAAGUGAUGAUGUGUUGGUUCCUUCAAGUAUAUAUCAAAUUUAGUUUUAUGUCCCUUACUUGCAUUCCUGUUAAACAACAUAUAUUAAGUGAUGACAUGUUUACCACUUCAUUAUUGCCAAGACCCAUGAUUUAUGUUAUGAUGAGAUGAUUGACUUGUUCGAGUGAGAGCCAUGUGAGCAUCGUUGUCUCCAAAUCACCACACCUGCAACUGAAAGCCUUGAACCUCUGCAUAGAGUUUCCAAUCUGCAAUGUUCAGUCAACUCCAUCCUCUCCUCCAUAAGGUGCCCAUCUCCUUUUAAUUCACCAUCCAUUUUGCCAAGUACAUUCAUGAAACCCUUAAAUUCCUUCUUUCCCUCUCUGGCUUCCUAUCUUCCGAACUCGUAGACAACAAAUCUUGGUCGGUUUUUUUACUCAUUAUUUCUGUGGUGUCACUUUUAUUUGUAAACCACCCUUCUCAGGAAUCCCUGCUUUUGUGACACCAUGUUUGCGAAAGAUACAGGAUGGAAGACUCAAGUGAACAUGGUGCCAACAUAAAAGAAAUAUGGAAAAUGCUUAAUAGAUAACGAGUAACGAAAACAUACAAACAUUUUUGUCCAUUUAUUUCCACCCACUCCUCCCAUGUUUUCCGUCAAAAGUGGAAGGAUUAUGUUGUCAUUCUUUUAAAAAUUUGACACGUACCUAGUGGCUCUGUUGUCAAUUGCGGCGCUAUAGCACACAAUAGUAGAAACGUGGUGCGCUAGACGUCGUCCCCGCUGUGCGCUUGGCCAUGAAACCGUCAUCAUCGAUUGUGGCGAACGCGUCCGCGAAUAGCGCCCCCAACGCUCUCAUGCGUUGCGCCCCGACCCUAAUCCAUGACUUGCGACUAUGUUUUUAUAGGUUUUGUUGAAUUUUUUUAAUUUCAUUAAGGGUAUUUGAGUCUUUUCGCACCCAAACCCCUAUUAUUUUAUUAUUUCUUGAUCUUUCUUCUUUUGCUCCUCUAGUUAACUGCUGUGACCUUUCUUCUUCUUGUUAUUCUUCCUCUGUUUUUGUUCUUCUCGUUUCUUGUUCUUGUUCUUCUUCAGCUCUUAUUCUGUUUUUCUGACUAUUAGUUAUUGAUUUUGAUGUUACAUUUUGGUUAUGAAAUAUGAAGUACUAUGAUUACCCCUUUAUUUGUGUAUUUUAUUUUUGCUAUUUUUUAGUACUUUUGUCUACUGUUUGUAUUUAAUGUUUAGUUUAUAUACUGUUUUUUAGUUGCACAUAGCGAUCAUCCCGCUAUCCGCGAUUCCACUAUCCCAUUUUCGGGGUUGGACGCUCCGUGCCGCUAUUCAUGACUGACAACAUAGCCUAGUGGUAGAUCUUUAUGAGGACAUGGCUAGCCCCAUUUUUUUUUGUAUUUAAUAGAUAGAAAUACAUAUUAUAAUAUUUAUAACAUAUGCUGCAAAAUGGUGCGGUGUUAACAGAACCUUUGUUAAAUCAAUCUUCGGUUCAAAUCCUUGGGUGCGUUUUUUUAUAUUUCAAUAGGAAUUUAUUGUAAUUUAUUUCAUCACAAACCCCAACAUAGAGGUUACAGUGAGGGUGUGGUUGUGAGGAGAAAGUGAGAAGAGAGAAAGCGUGUGAAAAGAGAGAAAUAAAGUAAAUUUGAGGUGUUGGUUGAUAUAAGAGAAAGAUAGGAGGCAGUUAAUCCCAUCGUUUCACAGCAAAAUCCUGCUGUCCCGGUGCGGUGUAGUGCCUGAUUGCGACGGCAUGGUCUGCGACAAUAUGAAACAAGAUUCGGGCAAGAUCCCAUUGUCCCGACGUAGUUAAUCCCAAUGAGAUCCUGUUAUUAUUUAUUUCUUAUCUGUUUUGUUGUUUCUACUUUCACCUAGGAAGAAGAGGAAGAAUAAUAUGUUAAUGAAGAUGAUGCUUAUCUUUGAUUACUAUGCUAGAACAUGCAUUUGAGUUUUAAUAUUGUUAUUUUAUUACUGUGUUAAAAGACUUCAAUAUGCAUCAUUUUUAUUUACUUGACUUUUGUUGGUAUUUCAAUGCAUGUUUUGACUAAGA